GCGGGGAUAGCUCAGUUGGGAGAGCGUCAGACUGAAGUCAAACUUCAAGUCUCAUGACAUCUGAAGGUCGUGCGUUCGAUCCGCACUCACCGCA
rnacentral:tRNA from 1 species